GAAUGAAAAAACACAAUCCGGUUGGUAGUCCGGAUGCAUUGUGAUAAUGUCAGUAACCUUCCCCUCCUCGGGAUGUCCAUCAUUCUU
rnacentral:ncRNA from 1 species